rnacentral:rRNA from 1 species
GAUGAACGCUGGCGGCGUGCCUAAUACAUGCAAGUCGAGCGAACAGACGAGGAGCUUGCUCCUCUGACGUUAGCGGCGGACGGGUGAGUAACACGUGGAUAACCUACCUAUAAGACUGGUAUAACUUCGGGAAACCGGCGCUAAUACCGGAUAAUAUAUUGCACCGCAUGGUUCAAUAGUGAAAUACGGUUUUUCUGUCACUUAUAGAUGGAUCCGCGCCGCAUUAGCUAGUUGGUAAGGUAACGGCUUACCAAGGCGACGAUGCGUAGCCGACCUGAGAGGGUGAUAGGCCACACUGGAACUGAGACACGGUCCAGACGCCUACGGGAGGCAGCAGUAGGGAAUCUUCCGCAAUGGGCGAAAGCAUGACGGAGCAACGCCGCGUGAGUGAUGAAGGUCUUCGGAUCGUAAAACUCUGUUAUGAGGGAAGAACAAAUGUGUAAGUAAAUAUGCACGUCUUGACGGUACCUAAUCAGAAGGCCACGGCUAACUACGUG